GCUUACGACCACACCGGCCUGAGUACGCCUGAUCUCGUCUGAUCUCGGAAGCUAAGCAGGGUCGUGCCUGGUUAGUACUUGGAUGGGAGACUGCCUGAAACUACCAGGUGCUGUAAGCU
rnacentral:rRNA from 1 species